AUUGAACGCUGGCGGCAUGCUUUACACAUGCAAGUCGAACGGCAGCGGGGGCUUCGGCCCGCCGGCGAGUGGCGAACGGGUGAGUAAUGCAUCGGAACGUGCCCAGUCGUGGGGGAUAACACAUCGAAAGAUGUGCUAAUACCGCAUACGUCCUGAGGGAGAAAGCGGGGGAUCUUCGGACCUCGCGCGAUUGGAGCGGCCGAUGUCGGAUUAGCUAGUUGGUGGGGUAAAGGCCCACCAAGGCGACGAUCCGUAGCGGGUCUGAGAGGAUGAUCCGCCACACUGGGACUGAGACACGGCCCAGACUCCUACGGGAGGCAGCAGUGGGGAAUUUUGGACAAUGGGGGCAACCCUGAUCCAGCCAUGCCGCGUGAGUGAAGAAGGCCU
rnacentral:rRNA from 1 species